rnacentral:rRNA from 1 species
CGGGUGAGUAAUAUAUCGGAACGUACCCUGGAGUGGGGGAUAACGUAGCGAAAGUUACGCUAAUACCGCAUACGAUCUAAGGAUGAAAGCAGGGGACCGCAAGGCCUUGUGCUCCUGGAGCGGCCGAUAUCUGAUUAGCUAGUUGGUAGGGUAAAAGCCUACCAAGGCAUCGAUCAGUAGCUGGUCUGAGAGGACGACCAGCCACACUGGAACUGAGACACGGUCCAG